AUGGAGAGACCAUCAUCCCCUUCAAAGGUUCUCCUCGUCUUCCUCCUGCAGUUCCUCCUGCUCUCUGAACCUCUGGAAGCAAGGAUACUAGGUGAUGCAUACGACUACAAGAACCUGCUCGCGUUGGGUGUCGAUGGAGAUGCCGCAGCGCUGCCCGCAUCACAGCUGAACCUCGCCGACGUUGCAGGGAACAGGCGUCCGUAUACGCCGCCUUCUCCGGUGCGACCUCCGUCGCCGCACCAUCUCCACGGAGAUGGCGCGCAUGAGCAGCAAAGGUCUCCGCCGGCGCCGUCCUCGACUGAACCUGCACCACCGCGUGAUUACAGUCGCCAGCAGGCUGAAGCUGCAGGACACCCAUCGAUGAUGCGCGCGUUUCUCCAAGCGAUCAUGGGAUAUGUGACGAAAAUGUAA
rnacentral:rRNA from 1 species